AGUACGGCGAGUGAGCGGGAAGAGCUCAAAUUUGAAAUCUGGUAGCCUUCGGCUGCCCGAGUUGUAAUCUAGAGAAGUGUUUUCCGUGCCGGCCCAUGUACAAGUCCCUUGGAACAGGGCGUCAUAGAGGGUGAGAAUCCCGUCCUUGACAUGGACCCCCGGUGCUUUGUGAUACACUUUCAACGAGUCGAGUUGUUUGGGAAUGCAGCUCAAAAUGGGUGGUGAAUUCCAUCUAAAGCUAAAUAUUGGCGAGAGACCGAUAGCGAACAAGUACCGUGAGGGAAAGAUGAAAAGCACUUUGGAAAGAGAGUUAAACAGUACGUGAAAUUGUUGAAAGGGAAACGAUUGAAGUCAGUCAUGCUCUUUGGAUUCAGCCGUUCUGCGGUGUAUUUCCAUUGAGUGGGGUCAACAUCAGUUUUGAUCGCUGGAUAAAGGCACUAGGAAGGUAGCACUCUCGGGUGAACUUAUAGCCUAGCGUCAUAUACAGUGAUUGGGACUGAGGAACGCAGCAUGCCUUUAUGGCCGGGAUUCGUCCACGUACAUGCUUAGGAUGUUGACAUAAUGGCUUUAAACGACCCGUCUUGAAACACGGAC
rnacentral:rRNA from 1 species